GGGGAAUUGUUCGCAAUGGGCGCAAGCCUGACGACGCAACGCCGCGUGGAGGACGAAGAUCUUCGGGUCGUAAACUCCUUUCGAUCGGGAAGAACGGCUUCCGGGUGAACAAUCCGGAAGAGUGACGGUACCGAGAGAAGAAGCCCCGGCUAACUCUGUGCCAGCAGCCGCGGUAAUACAGGGGGGGCAAGCGUUGUUCGGAAUUACUGGGCGUAAAGGGCUCGUAGGCGGCCAACUAAGUCACACGUGAAAUCCCCAGGCUUAACCUGGGAACUGCGUGUGAUACUGGAUGGCUUGAAUUCGGGAGAGGGAUGCAGAAUUCCAGGUGUAGCGGUGAAAUGCGUAGAUAUCAGGAGGAACACCGGUGGCGAAGGCGGGUCUCUGGGCCGAUACUGACGCUGAGGAGCGAAAGCGUGGGGAGCGAAC
rnacentral:rRNA from 1 species